CCUACGGGUGGCAGCAGUGAGGAAUAUUGGUCAAUGGACGAGAGUCUGAACCAGCCAAGUAGCGUGAAGGAUGACUGCCCUAUGGGUUGUAAACUUCUUUUAUAUGGGAAUAAAAUGUUCCACGUGUGGGAUUUUGUAUGUACCAUAUGAAUAAGGAUCGGCUAACUCCGUGCCAGCAGCCGCGGUAAUACGGAGGAUCCGAGCGUUAUCCGGAUUUAUUGGGUUUAAAGGGAGCGUAGGUGGAUUGUUAAGUCAGUUGUGAAAGUUUGCGGCUCAACCGUAAAAUUGCAGUUGAAACUGGCAGUCUUGAGUACAGUAGAGGUGGGCGGAAUGCGUGGUGUAGCGGUGAAAUGCUUAGAUAUCACGAAGAACUCCGAUUGCGAAGGCAGUUCACUGCACUGCAACUGACACUGAGGCUCGAAAGUGUGGGUAUCAAACAGGAUUAGAUACCCUGGUAGUC
rnacentral:rRNA from 1 species